rnacentral:rRNA from 1 species
UACGUAGGGUGCAAGCGUUGUCCGGAAUUAUUGGGCGUAAAGAGCUUGUAGGCGGUUUGUCGCGUCUGCUGUGAAAUUUCGGGGCUCAACCCCGAACUUGCAGUGGGUACGGGCAGACUAGAGUGUGGUAGGGGAGACUGGAAUUCCUGGUGUAGCGGUGAAAUGCGCAGAUAUCAGGAGGAACACCGGUGGCGAAGGCGGGUCUCUGGGCCAUUACUGACGCUGAGGAGCGAAAGCGUGGGGAGCGAACAGG